rnacentral:lncRNA from 1 species
AUGGCAGUUGAUUUCUUCUUUUCGAUCGAAUUCAGCAUCAGCCAACUAGGGACUUUGAGGGUGCUAUUUCUCUUUUGUUUUUUCUUUCUUUUUCUUUCUUUUGAUUUCUUUUGAUUUCUUUUGAUUUUGCACCCUCUCUUUCUUUGUUUUUUUUUGAUUGAUUUUUUUCCUUCUCUUUUUUUUGAUUAAUGCCCCAGUUGGCUGUUCUGCUGAUUCUCGAGAUGCAGCUGAGUGAUCUUCUUUUCUUGCUCAAGAAAUCGGGAAAUCUCGUCAGGAAUCCCUUCAACAUCAUCUUCUUCCGCUUCGAAUACAGGGAAUUCAAAAUUGGGAGAUGACGUCCGAUCAUUAUGUUCAAUGGGUUUGAG